rnacentral:rRNA from 1 species
UUUGAACGCUGGCGGCAGGCUUAACACAUGCAAGUCGAGCGGAGAUGAGGUGCUUGCACCUUAUCUUAGCGGCGGACGGGUGAGUAAUGCUUAGGAAUCUGCCUAUUAGUGGGGGACAACAUUCCGAAAGGAAUGCUAAUACCGCAUACGUCCUACGGGAGAAAGCAGGGGAUCUUCGGACCUUGCGCUGAUAGAUGAGCCUAAGUCGGAUUAGCUAGUUGGUGGGGUAAAGGCCUACCAAGGCGACGAUCUGAAGCGGGUCUGAGAGGAUGAUCCGCCACACUGGGACUGAGACACGGCCCAGACUCCUACGGGAGGCAGCAGUGGGGAAUAUUGGACAAUGGGGGGAACCCUGAUCCAGCCAUGCCGCGUGUGUGAAGAAGGCCUUAUGGUUGUAAAGCACUUUAAGCGAGGAGGAGGCUACUGAGACUAAUACUCUUGGAUAGUGGACGUUACUCGCAGAAUAAGCACCGGCUAACUCUGUGCCAGCCGCCGCCGUAAAAC